rnacentral:rRNA from 1 species
CGGGUGGUAAUGCCGGAUGCUCCGGUUGGAUGCAUGUCCUUCCGGGAAAGAUUCCAUCGGUAUGGGAUGGGGUCGCGUCCUAUCAGCUUGAUGGCGGGGUAACGGCCCACCAUGGCUUCGACGGGUAGCCGGCCUGAGAGGGCGACCGGCCACAUUGGGACUGAGAUACGGCCCAGACUCCUACGGGAGGCAGCAGUGGGGAAUAUUGCACAAUGGGCGCAAGCCUGAUGCAGCGACGCCGCGUGCGGGAUGGAGGCCUUCGGGUUGUAAACCGCUUUUGAUCGGGAGCAAGCCCUUCGGGGUGAGUGUACCCUUCGAAUAAGCACCGGCUAACUACGUGCCAGCAGCCGCGGUAAUACGUAGGGUGCAAGCGUUAUCCGGAAUUAUUGGGCGUAAAGGGCUCGUAGGCGGUUCGUCGCGUCCGGUGUGAAAGCCCAUCGCUUAACGGUGGGUCUGCGCCGGGUACGGGCGGGCUGGAGUGCGGUAGGGGAGACUGGAAUUCCCGGUGUAACGGUGGAAUGUGUAGAUAUCG